rnacentral:rRNA from 1 species
UACGUAGGGUGCAAGCGUUAAUCGGAAUUACUGGGCGUAAAGCGUGCGCAGGCGGUUAUGCAAGACAGAUGUGAAAUCCCCGGGCUCAACCUGGGAACUGCAUUUGUGACUGUAUAGCUAGAGUACGGUAGAGGGGGAUGGAAUUCCGCGUGUAGCAGUGAAAUGCGUAGAUAUGCGAAGGAACACCGAUGGCGAAGGCAAUCCCCUGGACCUGUACUGACGCUCAUGCACGAAAGCGUGGGGAGCAAACAGG